rnacentral:rRNA from 1 species
UACGUAGGGUCCAAGCGUUAUCCGGAAUUACUGGGCGUAAAGCGUACGCAGAUGGUCCAAUAGGUGAGAUGCGAAAUCUUGUGGCUCAACCACAUAGACUGUGUCUCAAACCAUUGAACUAGAGGUUGGUAGAGGCAAGCGGAAUUUCCGGUGUAGCAGUGACAUGCGUAGAUAUCGGAAGGAACACCAAUGGCGAAGGCAGCUUGCUGGGCCACACCUGACGUUAAGGUACGAAAGCGUGGGGAGCGAACGGG